CACUAAGAAGCUGAGGCACUUGCAUCUCCCAAAAUGCUGGAUUACCUCGGUGCCAAUCAGCAGAAAACCAAAGAGGAUGAGAAGGACAACGAACCCAUCUGAGCUCUGGAUGAGGGGGAUAUUGCCUUGCUGAAAACUUUCGGUCAGAGCACUUACUCUAGGCAGAUCAAGCAGCUUGAGGAUGAUAUUCAGCAACUUCUUAAGAAAAUCAAUGAGCUCAAUGGCAUUAAAGAGUCUGACACUGGCCUGGCCCCACCAGCACUCUGGGAUUUGGGCACAGAUAAGCAAAUGCUCCAGAGUGAACAGCCUUUACAGGUUGCAAGGUGUACAAAGAUAAUCAAUGCUGAUUCAGAGGAUCCAAAAUACAUUAUCAAUGCGAAGCAGUUUGCCAAGUUUGUGGUGGACCUCAGUGAUCAAGUAGCAUCUACUGACAUUGAAGAAGAGAUGAGAGUUGGCAUGGACAGAAAUAAAUACCAAAUUCACAUUCCACUGCCACCUAAGAUUGACCCAACAGUUACCAUGAUGCAGGUGGAAGAAAAGCCUGAUGUCACAUACAGGGAUGUUGGUGGCUAUAAGGAACAAAUUGAGAAAUUGAGAGAAGUAUUUGAAACCCCACUACUUUCUCCAGAGAGAUUUGUUAACCUUGGUAUUGAGCCUCUCAAGGGUGUGCUGCUCUUUGGUCCCCCAGGCACAGGCAAGACACUCUGUGCUCAAGCAGUUGCUAAUAGGACUGAUGCUUACUUCAUUCGUGUUAUUGGAUCCGAACUUGUACAGAAAUAUGUUGGUGAUGGGGCUCAAAUGGUUCGUGAGCUCUUUGAAAUGGCCAGAACAAAAAAAGCCUGUCUUAUCUUCUUUGACAAAAUUGACACUAUUGGAGGGGCUAGGUUUGAUGAUGGUGCUGGAGGUGACAAUGAAGUGCAGAGAACAAUGUUGGAACUAAUCAAUCAGCUGGAUGGAUUUGAUACUUGAGACAAUAUUAAAGUGCUAAUGGCAACUAAUACUGACACUUUGGAUCCAGCACUGACCUGACACUUUGGAUCCAGCACUGAUGAGGCCAGGGAGGCUGGACAGAAAUAAUGAAUUUAGUUUACCUGAUUUAGAGGGUCUAACUCACAUCUUUAAGAUUCACUUGGUCUUUGAGCAGUAG